rfam:Ferroglobus placidus DSM 10642, complete genome.
AUUCUGGUUGAUCCUGCCAGAGGCCGCUGCUAUCCGGCUGGGACUAAGCCAUGCGAGUCAUGGGGCGCAGGCCGCUCUUGCGGUCUGCGCACCGGCGGACGGCUCAGUAACACGUGGACAACCUACCCUCGGGAGGGGGAUAACCCCGGGAAACUGGGGCUAAACCCCCAUAGGGGAUAGGUGCUGGAAUGCCCUAUCCCCGAAAGUGCACGGUUGCCGUAAGGCGCCGUGCAGCCCGAGGAUGGGUCUGCGGCGGAUUAGGUAGUUGGCGGGGUAACGGCCCGCCAAGCCGAAGAUCCGUACGGGCCAUGAGAGUGGGAGCCCGGAGAUGGCCCCUGAGACACGGGGCCAGGCCCUACGGGGCGCAGCAGGCGCGAAACCUCCGCAAUGCGGGAAACCGCGACGGGGUCAGCCGGAGUGCCCGCGCAUCGCGCGGGCUGUCGGGGAGCCUAAACAGCUCCCCAUAGCAAGGGCCGGGCAAGGCCGGUGGCAGCCGCCGCGGUAAUACCGGCGGCCCGAGUGGCGGCCACUAUUAUUGGGCCUAAAGCGUCCGUAGCCGGGCUGGUAAGUCCCCCGGGAAAUCUGGCGGCUUAACCGUCAGACUGCCGGGGGAUACUGCCAGCCUAGGGACCGGGAGAGGCCGGGGGUAUUCCCGGGGUAGGGGUGAAAUCCUGUAAUCCCGGGAGGACCACCUGUGGCGAAGGCGCCCGGCUGGAACGGGUCCGACGGUGAGGGACGAAGGCCAGGGGAGCGAACCGGAUUAGAUACCCGGGUAGUCCUGGCUGUAAACGAUGCGGGCUAGGUGUCGGGCGAGCCACGAGCUCGCCCGGUGCCGGAGGGAAGCCGUUAAGCCCGCCGCCUGGGGAGUACGGCCGCAAGGCUGAAACUUAAAGGAAUUGGCGGGGGAGCACUACAACGGGUGGAGCCUGCGGUUUAAUUGGAUUCAACGCCGGGAAGCUUACCGGGGGAGACAGCUCGAUGAAGGUCGGGCUGAAGACCCUACCAGAGUAGCUGAGAGGUGGUGCAUGGCCGCCGUCAGUUCGUACUGUGAAGCAUCCUGUUAAGUCAGGCAACGAGCGAGACCCGCGCCCCCAGUUGCCAGCGGGUCCCUUCGGGGACGCCGGGCACACUGGGGGGACUGCCGGCGCUAAGCCGGAGGAAGGUGCGGGCAACGGCAGGUCCGUAUGCCCCGAAUCCCCCGGGCUACACGCGGGCUACAAUGGCCGGGACAAUGGGUACCGACCCCGAAAGGGGUAGGUAAUCCCCUAAACCCGGCCUCACCUGGGAUCGAGGGCUGCAACUCGCCCUCGUGAACCUGGAAUCCGUAGUAAUCGCGCCUCAAAAUGGCGCGGUGAAUACGUCCCUGCUCCUUGCACACACCGCCCGUCAAGCCACCCGAGUGGGCCAGGGGCGAGGCCCGCUCCUUAGGGGCGGGUCGAGCCCAGGGUCCGCGAGGGGGGCUAAGUCGUAACAAGGUAGCCGUAGGGGAAUCUGCGGCUGGAUCACCUCCU